UACGGAGGAUGCAAGCGUUAUCCGGAAUGAUUGGGCGUAAAGCGUCCGCAGGUGGUUAUACAAGUCUGCUGUCAAAGCGCAAGGCUCAACCUUGUAAAGGCAGUGGAAACUGUGUGACUAGAGAGUGAUAGGGGCAGAGGGAAUUCCCAGUGUAGCGGUGAAAUGCGUAGAGAUUGGGAAGAACACCGGUGGCGAAAGCGCUCUGCUGGGUCAUAUCUGACACUGAGGGACGAAAGCUAGGGGAGCGAA
rnacentral:rRNA from 1 species